UAUCUCUCCGUACGGGGAAGGAUGAGAAGCUUCGACUAAGGUUCGAUUCGAGCGCAGCGAGAAAGCGUUGCCGCAGGCAACGACCCGAAGGGCGAAGCGCGCAGCGCUGAGUC
rnacentral:sRNA from 1 species